CCCUUAGAUGUUCUGGGCCGCACGCGCGCUACACUGACGGAGGCAGCGAGUAUGUCCUUCGCCGAGAGGUGUGGGGAAUCUUGUGAGUCUCCGUCGUGCUGGGGAUAGAUGGUUGCAAUUGUCGAUCUUGAACGAGGAAUUCCUAGUAAGCGCGAGUCAUCAGCUCGCGCUGAUUACGUCCCUGCCCUUUGUACACACCGCCCGUCGCUACUACCGAUUGGAUGGUUUAGCGAGAACUUUGGACCGGAGCUCGGGUGGUCAGCAAUGGCCGCCCGAGACAUACUGGGAAAUCGCUCCAGCUUGAUCAUCUAGAGGAAGUAAAAGUCGUAACA
rnacentral:rRNA from 1 species